AUACUCUCUCUGAUGAUUUGGCCCACUUUUUAACUGUUUGCAUGUUCCGUUCCAGACCAAUAGACAGAGGAAAAAAGAAAAUCCAAAAGGAACUAGAUUCUCUCGACAUUAUUAGACUUUUCACUUUUGUUAGGUGCAAACUGGAAUUUUGUGUAUGGACAUGAUGCUAUAGAUUUCUGGUGGGCAUCAGUAUAGCCAAUUCAUAUUUCAUGGGGCUGGUAUCUCACCCUUUCAAUUGCCAGGUGCUCUAUACAAAGGCAUAUAUUAAUUUUGAAAUAUCAAAGGGUGUGGUUGAAUGGAUCAGAGAGCUUGAUGAGAGACUUAUAGACAUAUUAAAGCAUUUGAAGGUCUGGAUAAGCCAUAAAAAGUUGGAGGUUACUUUUAACUUUGUGCCAAGAUAGAGUAAACCACUCAAAUUUCUUAUAUUGGUGUACUGUUUUAAGAGAUUUGAGCUUUUAUAGGACUUUGAACUUCUGUUAAUAUUCAUGUAUUACUUAAGGUUUUUUUUUUUUGUAUGGAAACUUCCAUAUGGAUCUAACAUUUCUUUAUUGUUAUAUUUUUUUUAAUUAUGUUUUAA